UGCAGUCGACGAUGAUCCCAGCUUGCUGGGGGAUUAGUGGCGAACGGGUGAGUAACACGUGAGUAACCUGCCCUUAACUCUGGGAUAAGCCUGGGAAACUGGGUCUAAUACCGGAUAUGACUCCUCAUCGCAUGGUGGGGGGUGGAAAGCUUUAUUGUGGUUUUGGAUGGACUCGCGGCCUAUCAGCUUGUUGGUGAGGUAAUGGCUCACCAAGGCGACGACGGGUAGCCGGCCUGAGAGGGUGACCGGCCACACUGGGACUGAGACACGGCCCAGACUCCUACGGGAGGCAGCAGUGGGGAAUAUUGCACAAUGGGCGCAAGCCUGAUGCAGCGACGCCGCGUGAGGGAUGACGGCCUUCGGGUUGUAAACCUCUUUCAGUAGGGAAGAAGCGAAAGUGACGGUACCUGCAGAAGAAGCGCCGGCUAACUACGUGCCAGCAGCCGCGGU
rnacentral:rRNA from 1 species